UACGUAGGUGGCGAGCGUUGUCCGGAUUUACUGGGCGUAAAGGGAGCGUAGGCGGACUUUUUAGUGAGAUGUGAAAUACUCGGGCUCAACUUGAGUGCUGCAUUUCAAACUGGAAGUCUAGAGUGCAGGAGAGGAGAAUGGAAUUCCUAGUGUAGCGGUGAAAUGCGUAGAGAUUAGGAAGAACACCAGUGGCGAAGGCGAUUCUCUGGACUGUAACUGACGCUGAGGCUCGAAAGCGUGGGGAGCAAACAGG
rnacentral:rRNA from 1 species